CAUGCAAGUCGAGGGGUAUGGUUCUUCGGAACCAGAGACCGGCGCACGGGUGCGUAACGCGUAUGCAAUCUGCCUUUCACAGAGGGAUAGCCCAGAGAAAUUUGGAUUAAUACCUCAUAGUAUAGCGACAUCGCAUGAUGAUGCUAUUAAAGUCACAACGGUGAAAGAUGAGCAUGCGUCCCAUUAGCUAGUUGGUAAGGUAACGGCUUACCAAGGCAACGAUGGGUAGGGGUCCUGAGAGGGAGAUCCCCCACACUGGUACUGAGACACGGACCAGACUCCUACGGGAGGCAGCAGUGAGGAAUAUUGGUCAAUGGGCGCAAGCCUGAACCAGCCAUGCCGCGUGCAGGAUGACGGUCCUAUGGAUUGUAAACUGCUUUUGCACAGGAAGAAACACUGAUUCGUGAAUCAGCUUGACGGUACUGUGAGAAUAAGGAUCGGCUAACUCCGUGCCAGCAGCCGCGGUAAUACGGAGGAUCCAAGCGUUAUCCGGAAUCAUUGGGUUUAAAGGGUCCGUAGGCGGUCUGGUAAGUCAGUGGUGAAAGCCCAUCGCUCAACGGUGGAACGGCCAUUGAUACUGCUGGACUUGAAUUAUUAGGAAGUAACUAGAAUAUGUAGUGUAGCGGUGAAAUGCUUAGAGAUUACAUGGAAUACCAAUUGCGAAGGCAGGUUACUACUAAUGGAUUGACGCUGAUGGACGAAAGCGUGGGUAGCGAACAGGAUUAGAUACCCUGGUAGUCCACGCCGUAAACGAUGGAUACUAGCUGUUGGAAGCAAUUUCAGUGGCUAAGCGAAAGUGAUAAGUAUCCCACCUG
rnacentral:rRNA from 1 species